CAGCCCAUGGGCAAGUUAGAGACAGGAGUAGUGUCUGUGGAGUGGAGGAAAGCAGAGGCUGCCGCUGACCAUCCUGCAGCCCUCGCUCUGGCUGCUCACAGCUCUCCACCUUCUCUGGACUUCGUCACUUCAGUAUGUGAAACAACCAUUUCAACCAGCUUGGACAAAAGAGAGAAGCCAAGAUGGGGCUGAGAAACCAAUGCAGGCAGGCCCAGGGACCCAGGAGUCAGGGACCAGGUGCUACCAGAUGCUUGCUCCGACUCGUGUUGCUGCUGUCUUCUCUGUGCCUCAACUCUGUCCUCUGUCACUGCAGGCAGCUUCCUCCCAAGGUGAUGGAGACCAUGCCAUUGCUAGUCUACCUUGAAAGACAGAUGUGAAGAAUGAAGUCAGGGGCUUUGCAGGAAGGCGAUAUAUCCCACCUCAUGAAAUCAGGCUUCACCACAAGAUUGCUUUGACCAAUGGGACGUGAGUAGAAGUUUGAAGAACCACAGACUGGUCCAUCACCUUGUUUCUUAUCCCUCUGACAUAAGCAAUGUCCCAGACUGGGGCUGUUCUGUUAGCCUGGCUUCCAGAAUGAAGAGAGCUGAUCUACAUGGCAUAUGUAACAUAAAUAAACCUUUGUUAUUACAAACCA
rnacentral:lncRNA from 1 species